GAGCAGCUUUCCUCACCGGAAGAUUAGAGGCCAGCUGAGCCCCUCAGAUGAAAAUGAAAACUGCUUAAACAAAGUGCACCGUUGUCUGGAAGCGAGUCACAUGCUGGGGCCAAACGGAGGUAAUUAAAGCUUGCAGUUGCUUUUUAAAUGCCGGCAGCAGUGACAGUUUGGGAACUGUGAGUGCUACUUCACCUUGAAUACCUUUGACUGUGCCAGCCAUGUCUAUGAUCUCAGGAGUUCCACCAUCAGCCACUCACCAUAACCCGACCAGAUUUUUAUGUAGUGUGGCUCCUCUUUGUGUUCCAUGCACCGUACAGCUCUCUUUUUGGUCACCUCCUGAUGCUUCCAUUUCCUCAGGCUUGUUUUUCACAUUACACUGAACACAGGGACAAGCCAUUUCUGCGCCAUGUACAAGCGUUUGGGUGAAGGAAUGAGCACUUGUUGAUUUGCGCAGCUCAGCUAUUGUAUAUACUGACUGUGCACUUGUUGAACUUCAAGCACAAAUAACUGUAUGAGUGUGCAGCUGAACUAUUGUGUGCACAAGUACACAGACUGUGCAUUUGUUGAACGUAAUGUACGAGCACCACUCUCGCUAAAUGUACAUCCUCUGUGAGCAUCAUAUAACAGGUAUUCUGCAGAAACUGGGCUACCACAAUCCUCACAGUUUAGCUGCUAUUAAUGCUCUUUGACUUCAACCUUCCCAUAUGUGUGUUUGGUUAUCUGGCCUCCUCCAGACAGCCUCCUCAUUGAGCAUUCAUCCUGACCUGCUUACACAACGCUGACCCAGAGGUUAUAAUAUUUCUGAUCUUUAUUUGAGCAUUCAUUUUAAUGUGUUUGCAGAGAGGUUAUACAACAAUGAACAGUCCUCCUGAUAUGCCACGCUUUUCAGAGCACUUCCUUGUAACUUUCCUAACAACAAGAAGUUAAUUUCUUUUUUAAAACUGCCAUAGAGCACUUCCAUCCACUGGUAUAUGCUUGUAUCUUUCCUGCAAAAUACUGACAGUCAUAGAUCAGAUAAAUCAACAAGCAGUUUGAUCAAACUGCUUGUUGAUUUAUCUGAUCUAUGACAUCAUGUGGAUUUAGCAAAAAAUAAUUAUCCCAGUAGUGAUGUAUGGAAGUGAAAGCUGGACGAUAAAGAAGGCUGAUCGGCGAGGAAUUGAUGCUUUUGCAUUAUGAUGCUGGAGGAGACUCUUGAGAGUCCUAUGGACUGCAAGAACAUCAAACCUCUCCAUUCUGAAGGAAAUCAGCCCUGAGUGCUCACUGGAAGGACAGAUCGUGUAGCUGAGGCUCCAAUACUUUGGCCACCUCAUGAAAAGAGAAGACUCCCUGGAAAAGACCCUGAUGUUGGGAAAGAUGGAGGGCACAAGGAGAAGGGGACGACAGAGGACGAGAUGGUUGGAUAGUGUUCUCAAAGCUACCAGCAUGAGUUUGACCAAACUGCGGGAGGCAGUGGAAGACAGAAGUGCCUGGCGUGCUCUGGUCCAUGGGGUCACGAAGAGUCGGACACGACUAAAUGACUAAACAACAACAACAAUUAUCCCACAAUGAACACCCAUCAGGAAAUAUCCUUAGAAACUUGCUCAGUGUCUCAUUCAUCCCAUUUAGCCAGUCUUGCCUUUCCAAUGCCAUUAAACUGUGCCUAUUUACUUGGAAGUAAGCCCCACUGUCUUCACGUAAAUCCCUUUGUAGCAAGGGUAUUUAGAAUUGCAGCCUAAGCCUCUCAGAAUCUCAAUCCUCCAUUGCCUAAUUUCCUUGAUGCUUAAAAGAAGGAAGGAUUGGUCUACCAACAAAAUAUUAUAAGCCUGUCGCACAAACCCAGUCCCCGUAUCAUUUGGGAGCCUGAGCUGUGGAUUAUGGCAAGCCUCUUGUCCAGAAGGAAUUGCCAUUGUUUUUGUUUUCUGUAAGUGGCUAACUGUAAGCCUGCCUGUCUUACCAGACAAGUCUGAGUAUGUUGACUCAGCAGAAAGGCUGCAAUCCUCACCACACUUUCCUGGGAGUACGUCCUAAAGUUGUGUUUUAAUUUAUAACUUUACUUUUUUAAAGUCUGGUGUUUAAAAAAAUGGCCAACAUCAGCACCAUUUACUUCCUCCUCCCCAGCCUUGUCUCAUAAACCGACCUUUCUUCAAUUUCUUUGGACACUAUGCAUUUCCUAUUUCAGGAUGUAAAGAGCUCAUUAUCUCCUGAUGUUCUUUUAAAAAAUAUAUUUUUCAUAGGUACAUCUUCCCUUCUUUUAUGUGUGGCAGGACAUCACAUGACUGACACCAGAUUGCCAUCAAUGCAAUUAUUGGACUAAUUUAAAUAAUGAAAGCAGUUUUUUAAAAAAAAAUGUAUGGAAAGGCCAGUUAAAGAACAGCAGAGAACAUUCACCACAAGAACACACAUCUAGCCAUCAAAUCCAGCUCACUUUUUUCAAUAAAAAAACAGCAUACCUGGCCAUUGCCUGUAGCCAUGGGCACAAGCAGUUCCAUAAUGGCGGCUUGUGUCCUUGCAUAUAUUGUUAAGCAACCCAGAUCAGUCACUAGCCACAGAUACAAGCAAGGGUUAACAAGUGGAAUCUUUUAUUAUCUUGCUCUGUUGUCUUGCCUUAGUGAAAACAGAGACUGCCCUUUUUCUCAGAGCUGCUACAAGUUCACAUAAACAGUUCUUAAUAUCAGAAACAAAGAGAAGGGAGGUUUUCUCAAGACUAGCCAGAGCAGGCUAUGUCUCACACAACUGGCGUGUGAAAACAUGGUUUUGUCUUUAGGACAACAGCAAGAGGUAUCAGCUGUUAUGAGCAGAACCAUCAUCACAGCUUAAUUACUAUAAUUACAUCGGUAUACCGACUUCCUUCCAAGAAGCUUGUGGUGGUGUCCAUUUAUCCCUCGGCACCUCCAUUAUUCUUGCAACCCCCCUGUGAGGUAGAUUUGGCAGAGAGAUGGUGGGGGACCCAAGAGAAGUUCGUGUUUGAGCAAAGCUCUGAAUCUGGUUGAAGUCUAAGGUGCCAUACUACAUUGGCUCUAGAACAUUAGUGACUAGAAUUCUGGGUCAGUAAACUGAGUUCAGCAUACUGAUGCAAGCAUUUCAUGCUCUUUUUUUAACAGCUAGCUACAGAUGACUGGAGGGACGCGGGUGGCGCUGUGGGUUAAACCACAGAGCCUAGGGCUUGCCGAUCAGAAGGUCGGCGAUUCAAAUCCCCGCGACGGGGUGAGCUCCCGUUGCUCGGUCCCUGCUCCUGCCAACCUAGCAGUUCCAAAGCAUGUCAAAGUGCAAGUAGAUAAAUAGGUACCACUCUGGCGGGAAGGUAAACGGCAUUUCUGUGUGCUGCUCUGGUUCGCCAAAAGUUGCUUAGUCAUGCUGGACACAUGACCUGGAAUCUGUACACCGGCUCCCUCAGCCAAUAAAGCGAGAUGAGUGCCGCAACCCCAGAGUCGGCCACGACUGGACCUAAUGGUCAGGGGUCCCUUUACCUUUACAGAUGACUGGGGAGGAUGUGCAAGGAACUGGAAAGAGGGACAAAGGAGUCGUGUGAACUUGGUGGAGAUCUGAAGAAGUUAGGUACUUUUACAGAAGAAAAUGAUGAACGCAAGGUGUGCACAGGGAAAAUAUCCAGGUUGUGUGCAUCCACUAUCUAUUUCAGAGGGUAUUUCUGCUUGUAAAAAGAUUACACCAGGCAUAGGCAAACUCGGCCCUCCAGAUGUUUUGGGACUACAACUCCCAUCAUCCCUAGCUAACAGGACAAGUGGUCAGGGAUGGUGGGAAUUGUAGUCCCAAAACAGCUGGAGGGCCGAGUUUGCCUAUGCCUGGAUUGCACUAACAGUAGGCAGCAAUUGCCUCUUGGUUCUUGCUUACGUCUAUUUAUACUUAGAGGAAAGCAUAGUAGUCACACUCUAUAGCAUAGAAAUGAGUGGUCAAGUAUAGUGCAAUCAUAAGCUGACAGAAUAUAUUGACACCUCCAAAUGUUUCUAAGAGCAGGCGCAGAAGCAUUUUCAAAGAUUUCGUGCGUGUGUGUGUUUGGGGAUCCAUUACAAAAGGAGAAACAGAGAAGAUUACCACAGCUGCUUUGGCAGUUAAAGUUCAUCUCACAAUAUGUCCAUCCCUAGGUGUAACCCAUGCAAUCUUCCAAGUGCCUCUAUUGCAGAUGUUACAUUGCUCACACAAGGCCACUUGUGUGAAUUAUGGUGAUUCGAUGGUGUUUAUGUUUGUAGCUGUAUGUUUAAAACAUUCCCACCAACCAAACAUUGCAAAGAAUAAUAAAGGAUAAAAAAACACAAGGGACAAAUAUCAGGCUGGGAUGCCUCCCACUUGCAUUAGUUUUACUCAUGGGGAAGUGCUCCAACUUGCAGUUAGCUAAAAAGAAUGCUUAUUGAGAUGUCUCCUGAGACUCUGUGGGGAAACUGAGGGACUGCCAACUUAUGACUGUUACCGCUUCUUUCCCUGCCAGCUGGAAGGUAGAGGGGGCCCCCAAAGCUUCCCUUACCACCACAACACUCAAAGGACUGGCCCACUGGUUACGACCCUAGAUUGUCCUAAGGAGGAAGAAGUAGCAGAACCACUGGACAUGUUACUUUCCUAGCCCCAUAGCCUUGAGAAAGGGGUUACUGGGUUGCCAUAGAAGCUGGGGAGACCCUGUUAUCAACCAGCCCAGCACACUGAGAUCAGACUGAAUUGUAAGGCUUAUGGCCAAUGUAGCACCAAGUACCUGUCUCACCCGUGCAGGGAUUUACACUUGUGCAACAGGAAUUCCCCCCUUCUCCCUCUCCACGUGUGCCUAACACCCUCCCCCAAAUCUUCUCUGGAGAGGUAAAUCCCCAGAACAGAUUUAGGGUUAAGAAAGGGGGGAAAGUUUUGUUGCAUGAGGGUAAAUCCUUGCACUGAUGGGGGGGGCUACUUAUCGCUAAUUGGAAAUAUGCCUCUGGUGAAGACCCCAACAUGGAGAAAGGCAUGGUGGACAUAAUUAAGAACAGGCUAUUACGCUUGUAUUUUGUUGAGGUUCUGGCCUGUAUUACUUGAAGGAAGUGAGUGUACCAUGUGACAAAGUCUCAACAGAGUUACUACACUCAGGUGUAUGUUGUCAGCAGUUUGGGCUCAUGGUGGGCAUAUUCCCCCAUUCAAUGUGCCAUUCCCCCAUGAUGUGCACUCUCACACACGCCUUUAAAAACGCAAUGAAUUCCAGGUUUUGUUUACUUUGAAUAUUCAUUUCAACUUUAUUUUACAUACAUCAUCAUAACCAUUAUUAAAUGAUUCAUAAUAAAAUCCCUGAAAACAACAAAAACAUCAACUCGAUAUCAUUUGUAUAAUUCCAUAAUUCACAUUUAUUGUUAUUGUAAAACACUGACGAAACAUAUCACAUCUUGCUUUUUUUUUAAUAUUAACCUUCUGUAUACUCAGGACACAAAGUUCCAGAAUAGCUGCACUGGAUACAAUUAUAGUAUUUCCAUCAUGAAAACACAAAGGUGCAAAUAUCAAAAGACAAAUUAAACAAGUGCAAAUGAAUGAAAGUGCAAAAAAGCUUCGGUUCCAUGAAAAUGCUUCUUCUGAAAACUCCGCCUCUGCCCUCUGCGAAAGCUGGUCCCUAAAACAAAGGGCAUUUGGGCAGGAUUUGUCACACCUACCUGACUUUUCCCUCCCUUCCCAUUUAGGGUGAACCCAACAGUCCCAGGGACCAUGGGGAAAGGAAGAAGAAAAGAUGGAGAUUGAUCAAGGGUUUUUGAAGACUUCCUGUCUUCCAUUGCACUCAAGCCCCAAAUAAGCCCUAAACAGUAAACCUGCCUUAUCAUUUUGAUUUGGACUUUUGCAUUUCAAAAGUGCUUGAAGUUGAUGUCGAAACUGGAUUUCUGGGGUGGGAAUAAUCAAGGGUAAUCAAGGGUGCAGAGGAAGGAAUGCACAUUCCUGUUCUGGCUGCGACUCAGCAACAGGAACAUCCAUCUUUGAGCAACAUUAUGUCAUUUCUGCAGCGUGAAAGGGAUCCUUAGCUGGCCCACACAUCUGCAAUGAGUACCGGAUCUCCUGAUAAAGAGUUCCUAAAGGAGUAUGAGUCUUGGGCUAGCAGUUAAGAAGGCCUUUUAAAGUGAAGAGUUUUCUAGGCAGUAAAUUCACAUUUGUUCCACACAGCCUACCCAGAUUUCAAGCUAACACAAUGACAUUUUCUGAGCAAUCAAACCAAACUAUUUUGUAGCGAAGAAGAAAAUGCAUCCCCCCCCCCCAGAUAAUACACUCACUGCUAGAGGUCCUGAUCCACUUAGGGAGAAAUUCAUGUGCAGCUGCACAAGGAACUGUGCAAGCAAAAGUUCUCUUGCUUUUUUUUGCUUGCUAGCCUGAUACUGCAGUGAGGGCUACUCAUGAAUAAACCCAAUCAGUAACUGAACUAUAGCACCAACCAGCUUGGGGCAGUAAACAUGGCACCUGUCAAAUCCUGCACUACAACUCACAUCAUCCCUUAUCAUUGGGCAAUGCUGUCUGGGGUGAUGGGAGUUGUAGUCCAACAAUAGAUAACUGUUUGCUGCAUAUAUACAUGACUGGAUUGUGGCAAUUGUGAGCAAUGAUACUGCUUGAGACUGGGGAUAGCUUGCAUCUUAAUUACAGAUGAGUAACAACUCUCACACACCCCUCCUGCCAUACACACUAGCCUUCACCAUAUUGUGAACUGAUUCUUUAUAAUGUAAUGUGUUUUUAACAAAAAUAAAAAUGAAAAACCUUUAGAGGUUAUGCGGUCCCUGCUCUAUACCCCUCUACGGUACAACUCAGCCAUGAUUCAGUGUAAGAUUAGGUGUGCUUCAACCCAUGGAUUUUCAUGGGUUAAGAAGCUAGUGUCCUCAACACAAGGAUCCCUCUGCAAACAAGUAAUUCUAAUGUCUUUCUCCCAGAUUUUCUGGCUUGAUUUUUUAUGAAAUCUGAUGUUCCGUAUCACAGAGUGACUCCAGAAUUAGUGUCAGGGUUUUACUGAUUCCCAUCAGUUCUUAACAAGAACAGGGAUCUAAAUCUCUUAAUGGGCUACAUAAAUCAUUCCAGCAACAACAAUGCAAAGAAUAAUUAGAAGAGCUCUCUGUGCAGCACCCUUGUGAAGUCAUUGUAACCUUUACUCUGUAUAAGCAUCACUCAGUAUAUUGCCAUUAGCAAAUCUGGGGGGGGGGGGAGUGCUCCUCGGCCCCUGGGAUUGGUGCCUGGCUGAUUGUCUCGCUUGGUCUUAGAAGAAAUGACCUCAAGCCUACUAAGGAGGAAUUGACUAGGAUACAAGUACAGAACCUGAGGACUGAUGGGAGUAUUCUGCUCAGGAGGCAUUUUAGCUGCCAUUAGCUCCCCGCAAAAAGGAGCUAUUAUUUAGAUGCUUGAGACAAAAUAACUCCAAUGGUGUUUCAGCUAAUACAUAAUUCUACUGACAACAGUAGUGCCAGAGCGGGAAAUGACCUACUGAGGUGAGGUUCUGAGAACCAGUCUGGUGCUUCUCUUAGUUCUCCAGUAUUCCUAAACAUAAGGAAAACGACAGUGGUAAAUGGAACUGGACAUACAAGCAGUAUAAAAUGGGCUGCCUUAUAUAUUGCAAGAUCCAUCUAGGGUUCUGCCAUUGGCAGAAGCUCUCUAGGGCCUCUGGCCAAGGUCUUCAGCAGCCCUGCCACUUGGAGGUGCCAAAGGUUUCAAGACAGAAUCUGGCAAGGCCCAGGCUGCCUCCUCUCUGACACUCGCUGCCUUUCUGAGCAAAUGUUUGGCAGCAACAUGCACAGAAAUAGCAAUGAGCAAACACAGGAAAGGUAGUUUCAUUUUAACCCUCCCUCACAUACAUGCACGGG
rnacentral:lncRNA from 1 species